rnacentral:misc_RNA from 1 species
AUUUGCCAACUCCAAUUCCUC